UGGCUCAACGGUUAAGAGCACUGGUUGCUCUUCCAGAGGUCCUGAGUUCAAUUCUCAG
rnacentral:tRNA from 1 species